rnacentral:misc_RNA from 1 species
GUCCAUUAUGUGUGGACUAUGUCAAUUUUCUUCUGAAUUCAGUAAUGAUAUCAAAUAUUCUGAUAGUUCUGUGGCAAAACCAUCCCAAAAUAGUAAUCCUGCUGUAGCAAUUGCUUUGCCUGAAGUGAGAAGCAGCACUUCCACUGCCACGCAGGAACUUUUGAUAAUUAUGAGUUGCCAGAAAUAUUGUUCAGUUAAGGAUAUUCUAAAUCAUCUUUUCUAUGAAUCCUGAUGAUCUUGGCAUUUUCUGAUUAUGGAGCUUGAUAGUUGAUACGUCAAGAAAGAAAGCAGAUGUCCUUGGUUUUACCACCAGAGCUGAUGGAGUGAGGGG